GAUGAACGCUGACAGAAUGCUUAACACAUGCAAGUCGACUCGAGUCUUCGGACUUGGGUGGCGCACGGGUGAGUAACGCGUAAAGAACUUGCCUCUUAGACCGGGACAACAUCUGGAAACGGAUGCUAAUACCGGAUAUUAUGGUUUUUUCGCAUGGAGGAAUCAUGAAAGCUAGAUGCGCUAAGAGAGAGCUUUGCGUCCCAUUAGCUGGUUGGUGAGGUAACGGCCCACCAAGGCAAUGAUGGGUAGCCGGCCUGAGAGGGUGAACGGCCACAAGGGGACUGAGACACGGCCCUUACUCCUACGGGAGGCAGCAGUGGGGAAUAUUGGACAAUGGACCACAAGUCUGAUCCAGCAAUUCUGUGUGCACGAUGACGUUUUUCGGAAUGUAAAGUGCUUUCAGUCGGGAAGAAGUCAGUGACGGUACCGACAGAAGAAGCGACGGCUAAAUACGUGCCAGCAGCCGCGGUAAUACGUAUGUCGCAAGCGUUAUCCGGAUUUAUUGGGCGUAAAGCGCGUCUAGGCGGCAAGGAAAGUCUGAUGUGAAAAUGCGGAGCUCAACUCCGUAUGGCGUUGGAAACUGCCUUACUAGAGUACUGGAGAGGUAGGCGGAACUACAAGUGUAGAGGUGAAAUUCGUAGAUAUUUGUAGGAAUGCCGAUGGGGAAGCCAGCCUACUGGACAGAUACUGACGCUAAGCGCGAAAGCGUGGGUAGCAAACAGG
rnacentral:rRNA from 1 species